rnacentral:rRNA from 1 species
UACAGAGACUGCAAGCGUUAUUCGGAUUCACUGGGCGUAAAGGGUGCGCAGGCGGCCAAGUGUGUCAGGUGUGAAAUCCCGGGGCUUAACUCCGGAACUGCGCCUGAAACUACUUGGCUAGAGCAUUGGAGAGGGAAGUGGAAUUCACGGUGUAGCAGUGAAAUGCGUAGAUAUCGUGAGGAACACCAGAGGCGAAGGCGACUUCCUGGACAAUUGCUGACGCUCAGGCACGAAAGCGUGGGUAGCAAACAGG